rnacentral:lncRNA from 1 species
UAUUAUUCAUACCAAUUUUAUAACUUUUCCCAUUCAACUGAACAUAAUACCUUAUAGUCUAUAUAGCAACCUGAAUAAAAAUGCUGCAUUGAAAUCUUUCAUGAUUUUUCCUCCUCCGUACCAUCCACACACUGAAAGUCACACCCGCGAUUAGUUCCAAUAAAGCACUAUUAGGAAGCUUAAAAAAAGAAAUUAAAUUAUUCAUGGAAAAUCAACUCAGAUAAGGAAAUGUGCAAUUAACUCAAACGCUAUAAAAUUUAUUAUAUUUAUAUUGAUUAAAGUAACUAUAAUUAUUUCAAUUGCUAUAUAAUUUUAGCAAUUAUAUGUUAAUUGCUUUGAGCUGUGUGAGAUUUUUGGGAAAGAGAUUAAUUGAUUUCAAAAAUGUAUUAUCAUUUUAAAAAUAUAUUAAGUUUGCAGAUAAAUUAAUUUAUUUAGUAUGUAAGAAACUAAAAAGAAAGAAAUUAGAAGUCAUAAAAUGCAGUAUGCACUUUAACUUUUUUUCUAAUAAAUGAAAACAUAACCGACUACCGAGAAUCGUUCGUUCCGAAUUCGAUAGACGACAACUGCUGUUGGAGAGAGAGAAAAGCGCGGACAGUUGCAAUAUUAGCAGUGGCAGUGGCACACUCCGUCACUUUCUUAUUCCCCUUCUCAUGUCUCAAAAGUUAAACCCU